GAUGAACGCUAGCUACAGGCUUAACACAUGCAAGUCGCGGGGUAACGAGAGGGAAGCUUGCUUUCCUUGUCGACGACCGGCGCACGGGUGAGUAACGCGUAUCCAACCUGCCCAUUACCACGGGAUACCCCGUCGAAAGGCGGCCUAAUACCGUAUGCAGUCGUCAGAUGACAUCAGAGGACGACGAAAGGAUUGGCGGUAAUGGAUGGGGAUGCGUCUGAUUAGGUAGUUGGAGGGGUAACGGCCCACCAAGCCAUCGAUCAGUAGGGGUUCUGAGAGGAAGGUCCCCCACAUUGGAACUGAGACACGGUCCAAACUCCUACGGGAGGCAGCAGUGAGGAAUAUUGGUCAAUGGGCGCGAGCCUGAACCAGCCAAGUAGCGUGAGGGAUGACGGCCCUAUGGGUUGUAAACCUCUUUUAUGCGGGAAUAAAAUGUUUGACGUGUCAUACAUUGUAGGUACCGCAAGAAUAAGGACCGGCUAAUUCCGUG
rnacentral:rRNA from 1 species